rnacentral:rRNA from 1 species
AUGUCCUUCGGGACACGAGUUGGCGGAUGCGUGGGACCUGAUCUGGUAGUAGCCAAGCGGUGGGGUGACGCAGGAAGGUAGCUGGGCCAGUCAGUGGUUGUACUGGUGUAAGAGUGUAGGCCGUGACAUAGGCAAAUCCGUGUCACAUUAAGGCUGAGACUUGAUGCAUACCCGUUGUGGGGAAUUCAGUGAUCCUAUGCUGCCGAGAAAAGCCUCUAGUGAGUUCAUACACGGCCCGUACCCCAAACCGACACAGGUGAUCAGGUAAAGAAUACCAAGGCGAUCGAGAGAACUGUGGUUAAGGAACUAGGCAAAAUGCCCCCGUAACUUCGGGAGAAGGGGGACCAUGCCCGGUGAACAUCUUCACGGUGGGAGCUGGGUGUGGUCGCAGAGACCAGAGAGAAGCGACUGUUUACUAAAAACACAGGUCCGUGCGAAGACGUAAGUCGAUGUAUACGGACUGACGCCUGCCCGGUGCUGGAAGGUUAAGAGGACCGGUUAGCCGUAAGGCGAAGCUGAGAAUUUAAGCCCCAGUAAACGGCGGUGGUAACUAUAACCAUCCUAAGGUAGCGAAAUUCCUUGUCGGGUAAGUUCCGACCCGCACGAAUGGCGUAACGACUUCUCUGCUGUCUCGACCACAGACUCGGCGAAAUUGCACUACGAGUAAAGAUGCUCGUUACGCGCGGCAGGACGAAAAGACCCCGGGACCUUUACUAUAGCUUGGUAUUGGCGUUCGAUUCGGUUUGUGUAGGAUAGGUGGGAGACUGUGAAGCAUGCACGCCAGUGUGUGUGGAGUCGUUGUUGAAAUACCACUCUGAUCGUAUUGGACGUCUAACCUCGGCCCAUGAUCUGGGUUAGGGACAGUGCCUGGUGGGUAGUUUAACUGGGGCGGUUGCCUCCUAAAGAGUAACGGAGGCGCCCAAAGGUUCCCUCAGCCUGGAUGGCAAUCAGGUGUUGAGUGCAAGUGCACAAGGGAGCUUGACUGUGAGACUGACACGUCGAGCAGGGACGAAAGUCGGGACUAGUGAUCCGGCACCGGCAAGUGGAAGCGGUGUCGCUCAACGGAUAAAAGGUACCCCGGGGAUAACAGGCUGAUCUUCCCCAAGAGUCCAUAUCGACGGGAUGGUUUGGCACCUCGAUGUCGGCUCGUCGCAUCCUGGGGCUGGAGUAGGUCCCAAGGGUUGGGCUGUUCGCCCAUUAAAGCGGCACGCGAGCUGGGUUUAGAACGUCGUGAGACAGUUCGGUCUCUAUCCGCCGCGCGCGUAAGAAACUUGAGGAAGGCUGUCCCUAGUACGAGAGGACCGGGACGGACGAACCUCUGGUGUGCCAGUUGUUCCACCAGGAGCAUGGCUGGUUAGCUACGUUCGGAAGGGAUAACCGCUGAAAGCAUCUAAGCGGGAAGCCUGUUCCAAGAUGAGGUUUCUCACCACCUUGCGUGGUUAAGGCCCCCUACAGACCAUGGGGUUGAUAGGCCGGAACUGGAAGCGCAGCAAUGCGUGGAGGUGACCGGUACUAAUAGGCCGAGGGCUC